UGCUCUGAAUAUCUAUGGCUAGAUAAAGUACAAGUCGUAACAAGGUUUCAGUUGGAGAACAAGUCGUACAGGUUUCAGUUGGAGAACCAGCUGAAGGAUCAUUU
rnacentral:rRNA from 1 species